rnacentral:tRNA from 2 species
UGCCUCAUAGCUCAAUUGGCAGAGCUACGCGCUGUUAACGCGGGGGUUGUAGGUUCGAGUCCUACUGGGGCAGCCA